UUAAAGUCGCACCUCUCAGUUCACUGAGCUUCUUCUUCCUCCUCCAUCUGUGAGAGAGUGAGACGAGGGUGAGAGACCCGAUCUUCCUUCUUCCUUCCUUCUUAUUCUUUCCCUUCUUCUGUUUCCCGAAUCCUCUCCUUCUCUUCUUUCCUUUUCUUUUCUCUUUUCUUCUUUCUUGCACUUUCCUUUCCCUUUUUCCGUCCGAGUCUCUAAAAAGGCACGAUCGUGGGAGAAGGGGAAAGUUGAGAGAGAUGGAGAAGAAGAAAUCGAGAGUUUGGGGGAGAGGGAAACUGAGAGAAACCAAGAGAGAGGAGAGAGACCCAGAGAUCGGGGAGGAGAAAAACAGAGAGGGAGAACCGAGAGAAGACCCGAGAGUUCUGUGAGAGCUGGAGAUCGAGAGACCCAGGAGACCCGUGACCCGUAAGUGCUGAACCCAGACGAAACCCAUCAACCCGUGAGCCAGAGAACGGCCGGAGACCCCAGUUCCGCGAUUUCCGGCGGUUUGAGAUCGGUUUCCGGCAGUCCAUUCCGUGACCUGUUCAACACGAUCUCCGGCGGAUUGGGGGUGCGAUUUCCGGUUAUUCUGGGGAAUUUUCGCAUACAGUGACCUAGCCGACGGUUAUAGUCUUUUGAAGCUGGGAGGAUCAUAUUAUCAUGGAAGAGGUGGGCAUUGUGAGUCUGAACUGGGAAGUGUGAACCUUCCAGUAUUGGCUGCUCAUGACUUCCUUAAGGUAGCUCGGCCAAUCUGGUGUUGUGCCAUCUCGGACAAUUUAGAGAGGUAUGCCGAGGAGCCUUUUGAUUCGAAUCUAGCAAAGAUUACAAGAUUCAGGAGGACCCCAAUUUUUAAAGGGAGCUCCCCCUUGAGUUGUGGCAAGGACUUAAUUGAUCGUUGCUUGCCUUUGUGGUUGACCAAUGAAGAGAGGCAAAAUGCAGAGUUUGAAGCCAUCAGGUUGAAGCUUUCCAAUAUCUCUAUUAAUCAGGGAGGACUUGAGGUUCUUAUUGAGAGUAAAUAGUUGUGAGAUGUUUCUCUGUAUUAAUUUUCUUCAUAGCCCAUGAUAUUCAUCUUGUUUCUCAAAUUCAUUUUCACCACCUCAUUUUUGCCGCUUUUGCUAUCAACUAAUCUUAUUCUCUGAGAUAGAUAUGCCUAGAAAAUGAGAUGUUACAUUGAAGGGUCUAACAAGAUGCGGAAAACAGAUUAUUGUGUUUGCUACUUUUUUGUCGAUAUAACACUGGAUUUUAAUUCGAGUGGAAUAGUUGUAUUUUAA